AAUGGGAUUGGGUCUAAGGGCUGGGUCGGUCGGGCUGGGUUGCGAAGCAGGGCUUGAGCCGCGGCUGGGGGAGCAGUCGCUCUGUCGCCCUCCUCUCGCCACCGUUGGAAGUUCGUUGUGCGGACCAUCUCGCAGUCUCUCGUGCGUGGUCUCACAAGGGACUGCGUGUGGGGGUUUGUCGGAGUGGUGUCUGUCGGCGGGCCGAAGGCGGACCGGUGGGGGGUUGGUUCCGGCUGUUGGCGGCAGCGACUCUGGACGCACGCCGGGCCCUUCUCGCGGAACUCCCCAGCUACGUUCAUGCGGGGUCUCUGGCUGGUCGUCUCGGCCGGCGCCUAGCAGCUGACUUAGAACUGGUGCGGACCAGGGGAAUCUGACUUUCAUUAAAACAAAGCAUUGUGAAAGCCCAAGGUGGGUGUUGACGCGAUGUGAUUUCUGCCCAGUGCUCUGAAUGUGAAGAAAUUCUAUGAAGCGCAGGUAAAUGGUGGGAGUAACUAUGACCCUCUUAAGGAGUUGUUAGCCCAGGAAAUUGGAGGUCCAUGCUUCCA
rnacentral:ncRNA from 1 species